CAUCAUUGACAUUUAACACAUACCAGUGCCUCUUUCUGUUAUCACAUUUGCAAACUACAGAGCUCUGUGAAAAGUUUUAAUUAUAAAUUGUAGUCUAGAUUACAUUUUUGUUCUAUGAGUUCCUUGAAUGUGUUCAAUGUUAUGUCCAGUAACAGCUCCACUUUCCAUGAAGGACAAUUUAUCCCAGGAUCACAAAUGUGAGACAGUAACGGGGCCAUUCAAUUUCAGGCCAACUUAUAGAAGUUUUUUUUCAAGGAGGCUUGUGAACCCUGUGAAGGAGGAACACCUUCAAAGAGAAGGAUAAAGACUACGAACAUACGGGCCCUACCACCACAGAGACAAAUAUAACCUCAUACAUUUUAGCACUCAAUAAAUGUCAUGGUAAUGGAAUAGGGAGGAGAGCUACAGAUGUCCAAUUUUUCCAAAGCAGAGAUAUUCAACAGUUAUAUUGUGAGAACUCAGCCAGAAAAAAAAUUGUUUGGGAACUUGUUGGGGAACAUUGAUCAGAGACAGUCGAGGCACAAGUCUGCAAAGCUCCCUAGAAAAACACAAAAAUUAAACUGCGAUUUGUUAGUGCAAGAGAGCAGGUUUUAAGGAUAUCACAAAUUAUUUUUAGAAAGACUUUAUGUUUAGAAAGCUUUAUGUUUCCCAUUCACCCUUCAACAAUUCUUGGAAAACUCUAUCCCUCCAGAGGUAGAGGUGUUAUUUAUUCCUGGAUUCUCAGUGGAAAAUAAACGGUAUUCGUAGGUGUGGUAAAGAAAGAAGCAUGCGGCUUCCUGAUCACUUGUUUGCUACAUUGUGACAUCAGUUAUCUUGCCAUAGUUUGUUGUUAUUGAUAACUAGUUUAUCCGAUAGCUCCUCAAAUUGAUGCCUAGAUUGUGACCAUUCUCAACCAGGUCAUGUAGCUAGCACAUGGUAAAGAAAUAUUUUGUGUCAUCUAGAAUGUAGAAUUAGAACUAUUCUGUAGAGGUUUCCAGAAAACAGUUUAAGAUAAAUACAAGAAAGAAGUCGCUAAGUCUUAGAGUUUUAUGUAGUUGACAUGACUUAUCUGGUAAAGUAGUGAAUUCCAUGUCAUCAGAGUUAUUCACGAAGAAGCUGAAUAUUUACUUACCAGGAAGUGACAGAGACAUUUCUUGCAUUGAGUAAGAAGGUUGUUAGAGGACACCUAAGGCUUUGUCAAAUCUUGCUUCCUAAUUGUGGGGCUACAUGGUGGUGCUCAGAGUGGCAUACGUGGAGAGAGACCUAGUGCUUAAAGAGCUGCGGUUAUACACUCAUUGCUCACAACAGCCAAAUAAACAAACCCACGCAAUGUUUAUAAAACUAAGUAGUUCAGCAUCAAGGAAGUUGUCCAAAUUUCAAGACCCAGACAGUUAAGCUCAGGAGCUUAACUCACAAAGCCAAGAAAGAAUUUAAAAAUCAAGACAAGCCCAGAAACAGGAAGAAGAAAAAAAGCUGGUGUUAUCAUCUACAGAAAAAUUCUAGCAGAGGAGCAGGCCGCAAAACCUUGGGAAGAAAACUUUUAAUGUGUCCAGCUGCUUCUGGUUUUUGUGAAGAAAGAAGAUGUGAAAUGAGAGGGCAGGAUCGGUAACCACUUUACCUACGAUGGUUAGAGAAGGUGAGCAUUGGUAUCUGAAUGGUAAGAAGAGGCAGCUAAGUGAAGAUCUGAAAAUCAAACAUUUCCAACAGAAGGCACGGUGAAUACAGAAUCUGAAAAUUAUGAACAAGCUUGGUGUGUUUGGCAGCAGAAAAGAAGGCCAGAAUACCCUGAGUUUAGGGACUAAGAUGGAGGAUGGAGAGACUUAGGUUGAAGUGGAAAGGGUCCCCAGGAAUCUCAAGAAGUAUCAAAGAACUGAAACUCACCAGAUCACAUCCAGACAAUGAGAUGCCCACUCCUCAUUCAUCAUGGUUGCUUCCUUGCUCUUUCCUAGUUCAUGCUUUCUUACACAUUGUUGCAUUUCUUCCCUGCUAUAUAAACUCCGACUUUUGGUGGGUCAGGGGGAGGAUUAGAGACUGCUCUCCUAUCUCCUUGACUGCAGCACCCAGUUAAAGCCUUCUUGCUCGGAUACAUUCAUCAUCUCAGUGACUGGCUUCCUGUGAAGUGGGCAGCAGGACCUAGACCAAACCCCUGGUGUUUUGGUAACACAAGGACCACUUGAUGUAGGGUUAUGUGGAGUUUGUUAAGAAAUUUGUAUUUCAUCUUGUUUUUAAAGAAAGCUACAUACUUUUUGAUAUAAGCAACUAUCCGUGAGGAGAUGAUCAUGUAGACAGGAGGAAACAAACUCUCUUUACCUCAAACCAUCAUGAGACAGAGACAGUUGAAACAAGCGACUCAAUCGUAUUUCUAGGAGAGUAAAUGCCAUUAGGAUUUUGAAUUAUGUAAUCAGUGUAUCUCUUAGCGAUGGGAACAACUCCGGCUUCACGCGGGCACUGCCGUGAAUAUAAGGGGACAAUGGAAUCCUUAUUCACAGGAGUCAAAGAAGUACUCUAGAUCCAGAGGGGCAAGUAGAAAGUAGUAAAACUUAGGAAUAGGGACCAAAGAUAAUAUAUGACCCCAUGGAAUAAGUCAGUUUUGGAGAGAACAAAAGGAACCAUGAAUCUAGGCAGAAUGAUUCCUUGAUGGCUAGCUCAGAAAUCCUGGAUCCUGAAUCAGAUUGAUUCUGAGAGAGAACAAAUGAAGAGAGCAGGAAUCCACCAAGAAAUGACAUUUUGAAGUCCUCAUAAGUUUGUGAUGCCGACAGCUCUUCUGUAGUAGCUGCCCUUGGCCAGUAACUCAGAUAUGUUGAAUGCUACAUGUGGGAAAAUCUUGGAGGUGUGGGAAGCUAUAAGUAAGGAUACUUCAAUGGAACAGGGGAAAAAAUUGCACUGCAAAAGCCUGUUUUUAAAAAUGAAACUUACUAAGCUGUGUCUGUAAAACUGUGUUUUUAAAUUAUAUAACCAAAUUAAUAUUCAUAAGACUCACCUUGGAAGUCAGACAUUAACUUCAAAACUAGUUUUAUUUCUCAUGGCGAUUUCAGAGCUCUUUUACAAGAUAUGUGGGUACAUACCCACGUGACCAGACUUGUCUGAUUUCUUCAGUAACAUUCCUCUUUGAUCUGUGACUGAAGGCUGGUUCUCAAGUCAGAUCUACUCUAAAGAAUGAAUAUUUGUCACCACUUAUAAGUUUUCAUAAAAUAUUCUUUUAAUCUUGAAGACAUGUUCAAAAUUGUGUUGAGUGUCACACCAUUAUUAGAAAACAUGAAAUUCCCAACGUAACUAUAGGAUUUUUCUGCUUUCAUUUAUAAUUAAUUCUUUAAAAUUUCUACGAAAAACUCCAUAUAAAAAAGUCAAAUAUUAAACUACUCCUUAUAAACUAUUUUAAAACAUAUCCAAAAUUGUGUUUGAGCACUGUAUACACAUUUGUGUUUACCGUUUAUGCAUAUUUAUUUUCUUUCAUAAAUAAGCAGACAGUUGGAUGACAUAAAUUUAAAGGGUAGACAAAGCUAAGGAUUUGCUUCUUUCUAGAAUUGCGCCAAUUGUAUUGUUUUAUCAUUUGUAUCACAUUUUCAUUUGUCCAAUUUUAGUCCUUUCUAAAUAAAGAGGGUAGAAAGUAAAAAAUAUUUAAAUAAUUACACAAACAGUGCCAUCUAGAUAAAAAUGUCACAUAAUCAUUACACAGUAAGUCUGGAAGAUUGUUCAGAGCUAAUAGGUUGGUGCCAAUCGUUUUCCCCCUCCUGUCACAUAGUUUCACCCUUAAAAUUUCCUCAUAGACCAGAAUUGCUGCUGAAACUUGAGCUCUCAUAUCUGAAUUCCAGAUCAAGUAGAAGAGGAAAGCUAAGAGAACUAAAAAUGUGUUCCUUCUAGAAGUAGAUUCUCUAUGAACAGUUCUCCAGAAAUCUCAUACAUGUCCAUUUGUAUCUUGUUGGCCAGAACAUAAUCAUAUGACCACAAGCUGACAAGGAGCUCAGUUAAAAAUUGAUUUCUCAGGCCGGGCGCAGUGGCUCAAGCCUGUAAUCCCAGCACUUUGGGAGGCCGAGGCGGGUGGAUCACGAGGUCAAGAGAUCAAGACCAUCCUGGUCAACAUGGUGAAAUCCCGUCUCUACUAAAAAUACAAAAAAUUAGCUGGGCAUGAUGGUGCGUGCCUGUAAUCCCAGCUACUCAGGAGACUGAGGCAGGAGAAUUGCCUGAACCCAAGAGGCGGAGGCUGCCUGUGAGCCGAGAUCACGCCAUUGCACUCCAGCCUGGGUAACAAGAGCAAAACUCCCUCUCCAAAAAAAAAAUAAAAAAAUAAAAAAAAAAAUUGAUUUCUCUUCUUAAGGAAGACAGUGGGGGUUUGUGAAUGCUGAGGAGACAACUAGAAGUCUCUGCCAGGAUUGAAUUCAGUUCCUUAGAGUUCUGCUGGUGUGGCAGUCUCUAUCUUGUUUCCUCAGAUCAUCUAGACAGGAACAGUAAUUCUCUUCAUUACGUUAAUAGUUCUUGUCUCCUAUUUGAACAAAACCUUAGUACAAUUUAAGACACCAACAUUUACUUUUGUAAUAUGAAAUUUGAAGCCUUACUCGUAAACGGUUAUUUGAUUACAGUGAUUACUCAUGUUUACUGUAAAAGUUUAUCACUGAAGAACCUCUUUAGAUAACCAAACAUCUACUUCACUGGAAAGAACACUGUAGAGAAGGCAUUUGAAAAUGACGCUUUGAGUUAAAUCUGGUUAAAUCUCUGUCAAAUUUGUUGGCUGUUAUACUUGUGUUUAAUAUAUGUUUACACUAAAGAAAUUUCAAAACAUUGUAAUAGUUAAAAUUGGGGUAACUUGAGAAACACAAAUCCCCCCCACCCACCUUUGUUUCUUUACUGAGGAAAGCUCUUUUUGGAAAAUUUGCCUGACAUAUUAAUGUCUUUCAAAAUACACAUCUUGGCUGUUGUGAUUACUACUGAAACAAACAUGGGAGUGCAUAAGUCUCUUCAAGAUCUUGAUAUUAAUUCAUUUGUACAAAUAUGUGAAAGUGGGAUUGCUGGAUUAUAUGAUAGUUCUAUGUUUAAUUUUUUGAGGAACUUCCAAAUUAUUUUUCAUAAUAGCUGUAGCAUUUUAUUUUCCCACGAGCAGUGUGCAAGUCUUCCAAUUUCUCCACAUCCUUGUCAACACCAUUUAAAAGAAAUUAUAGAAUAGCCAUUCUAAUAGGUAUGAAACAAUAUCUCACUGUGGUUUUGAUUUGUGUUUUCCUGAUGACUAAUGAUGUUGAGUGACGCUAUCUUUUAACUAUUAGUGGGAAUAUCUCUUUCAUGUACUUGUUAGUCAUUUUUACAUCAUUUUUAGGAAUAUGUCCAUUCAAGUCCUUUGUCCACUUUUUAAUGGACUUACUUGCAUUUUUGCUAUAAACUUGUUCUUAUAUAUUAUGGAAAUGAAUCCUUUAUCAGAUAUAUGGUUUAUAAUGGUUUUCUCCCAUUUUAUAGGUUGCCUUUUUACUCUGUUAUUUCUUUUGCUUUGCAAAACUUUUCAGUUUUAUGUAAUCACACUUGCUUAUUUUUCCUUUUGUUGUGUACUUCUUGUGUCAUACCCAUAAUUGCUGAGACAAAUGUCCUGAAGCUUUUCCCCUAUGAUUUUUACUACAAGCUUUACAGUUUUGUAAAGCUUUUAAAAAUUAAAAGUAAGUAGGUCUUACUUUUAAUGUUUGACCUACUUGGAGUUGAUUUUU